rnacentral:rRNA from 1 species
UACGUAGGGUGCGAGCGUUGUCCGGAAUUAUUGGGCGUAAAGGGCUCGUAGGCGGUUUGUCGCGUCGGGAGUGAAAACACUGGGCUUAACCCAGUGCUUGCUUUCGAUACGGGCAGACUAGAGGUAUGCAGGGGAGAACGGAAUUCCUGGUGUAGCGGUGAAAUGCGCAGAUAUCAGGAGGAACACCGGUGGCGAAGGCGGUGGUCUGGGCCGGCACUGACGCUGAGGAGCGAAAGCGUGGGGAGCAAACAGG